rnacentral:rRNA from 1 species
AUGGAAGAAAUGGAGCAACGCCUGCUGGAAUCCCUCACCAAGGCGCUUUCCUCCAUCAACAAGGCAGUAGAUGCCGCGUUCGACGCGCGGCUCACUCCCCUGGUGGACGACGUCCGCGCCCUGCGAGCGGAUCUGGACGAGCUCAGGGGUACUUGCGCGCGGCCGAACUCUGCUCUCAAGCCCGCGCAGAAGCCGCUCGCCGCCGCGACCUCCAGCGCCCCUCCGUGCCCCGUGCCGAUCUGCGACGAAGGGGACCUUGCGGAGGAGCCCGACCUGCAGCUCGCUCCCCGGGGUGAAGGGGUCCCGGGCGGACGCCUCGAGAGCCACCGCGACUUCGAUGGCGCCCACGAGCGCCGGUUCGGUCGCGACGGCGGUCACAACCACUACCCUGACCGCCGCGGCCACGGCGCCAACCUCGACAUGGCGUAUGGGCCUCGCGACAAUGGGUUGCUGCACGGCGUGGUCUAUCCCAACGAGGACGAUGCCUAUCAAGAGCGUCAUGUCCGCCGCGACGAUGCCGGCGUGUACGACCACCGCGACAACUUUCACCUCAAGCCUCCCAAGCAUUCCUUUCCGGUCUUUAAAGGGCAGUUUCCUUUACUCUGGAUCGACAAUUGCUAUAAUUAUUUUGAGAUGUACAGUGUGCCUGAUCGCCAUUGGGUUAGCACUGCAACCUUGUACUUUGAAGAUCACGCUGCUCUAUGGCUACAAGCAUACAAGCGUGCUCACAGGCAGAUGAAUUGGGAUUCCUUGGUCACGGCCUUGGUUGCUGAGUUCGGGAGCGAUGACUAUGAUGGUCAGAUGUCAAUUCUGUUGCAGCUCAAGCAGACUGGAGCAGUGGCUGAAUACAAGCACAAUUUUGAGUCCUGCAUGUACCACCUCUUAUCUGUUGAUGCUUCUCUGAACUCAAAAUGGUUUGUUUCUCACUUCAUCCAUGGCUUGCGUGAUGAAUUUAGAGCAUCAGUCAGAUUGCAGCAUCCAGCUAGUGUAACUAAGGCAGCUCAUCUAGCAAAAAUUCAGGAGGAAGAAAAUGACAAUUGCCACCGUCCAAGAGCAGGCCCUACUGCAGCAAUCAAACACCAUAUGGCCCAUCCACAUCAAGGGGCAGUGGAACCCCAGCGAGAAAAGGAUGAGUUUGCUCGGGAGCGUGCGUUACGAGACUUCAGACAAGCUCAAGGACUUUGUCUCCGGUGCGGAGACAAGUAUAGCCGUGAGCACAAAUGCAAACCGCCUGCCCAACUACUGACCAUAGAAGUGGGUGAUUGUGGCGAAAUUCUCUCUGAGGAUACCGUUCAUGCUUUGGAGUUACUAGAUGAGCCAGCACCAAAUGGUUGA